rnacentral:rRNA from 1 species
AACGAACGUUGGCGGCAUGCCUAACACAUGCGAGUCGAACGAGACCUUCGGGUCUAGUGGCGCACGGGUGCGUAACGCGUGGGAACCUGCCCUUAGGUUCGGAAUAACUCCCCGAAAGGGGUGCUAAUACCGGAUAAUGUCUUCGGACCAAAGAUUUAUCGCCUUUGGAUGGGCCCGCGUUGGAUUAGCUAGUUGGUAGGGUAAAAGCCUACCAAGGCGACGAUCCAUAGCUGGUCUGAGAGGAUGAUCAGCCACACUGGGACUGAGACACGGCCCAGACUCCUACGGGAGGCAGCAGUGGGGAAUAUUGGACAAUGGGCGAAAGCCUGAUCCAGCAAUGCCGCGUGAGUGAUGAAGGCCUUAGGGUUGUAAAGCUCUUUUACCCGGGAUGAUAAUGACAGUACCGGGAGAAUAAGCUCCGGCUAACUCCGUG